AAAUUAGAGAAGCAAGCCCCCCUUUUUGCAUUUACGAGGAUCGCCCCCAAACUUCCUCUUCUCUGGAAUUUUUCUUUCUUCUCAACCAACCAGUACAACUACACACAACUUCGAUCUCUGUCUCUUCUUCCCUUCCUUCCUAUUUAUUUUCUUUUUCCCUCUCUUUCUCACCCACCAAUCAAAAUCCAAACAAACUCGAUAACAUAAACUGGAACACUGUAAGCCAAAGUCUUUUCUUUCACUCAUCAUCCAUUUCCUGUCAACCCUUUAUUAAUUUGCCCUGUUGACUCGAGACAGAAGCAAUGAGAACAGAGAUGAGAAAGAUCUCCAAGUCAGCAUGGCCUAAAAUAGUUGCCAGGAAAUGGCUAAAUAUACAAAGUGGAGAGGACGAGUUUCAUUCCGAUUAUUUCAAAACAGGCAAAGCUGAAAGAAGGAAAAGCUGUUCAGAUGAAGAUUAUUACGUUGUGGUACCUGAAGAUUUAUCAGAAGGGUGGUUGAUGGAAGCUGCUAAUGGACGUAACAGAGAGUGGAGAAUGGAGUUGGAAGCACCACCACCACCUCCACCACCACCUCCACCUGUCACUGAUUCUAUGAAUCUAAGGAUGUUCGUGGGGACCUGGAAUGUUGGAGGAAAGUCUCCCCACGAGGGCUUGAACUUGACAGAUUGGCUUAGUUCACCUGCUCCUGCUGAUAUCUAUGUACUUGGGUUCCAGGAAAUUGUGCCCCUGAAUGCAGGGAAUGUGCUAGGGGCAGAGGACAACGGCCCAGCACUCAAGUGGCUUUCCAUAAUUAGACAAGCACUCAACAACAACAAGAAUGAUCAAGAAUUUUCUCAGUAUUGCAACAAUGCCAAUGAAGUGAAACAUUCGUUUUCACCACAACCUGAUCAACAACCUGCUGUAAAACCAAGACUCAGCUUCUGUGACUUGCUGUCAUUAGAAGAUGAACUCGGCAAUGAAGGCGAAGAAGGUUCUCCUUCCCCCAGCCCAGCUAUCAUGUCUAGCAGUCCAAUGCGGAGGCGUUACUGCCUAGCCGCUAGCAAGCAGAUGGUUGGGAUCUUCUUGUGCGUGUGGGUUCAAUCUGAUCUUUACAAGGACAUUAGCAAUUUAAAGGUAUCAUGCGUUGGCCGUGGCAUCAUGGGUUACCUUGGCAACAAGGGCUCAAUUUCGGUUAGCAUGACGUUGCAUCAAACAACAUUCUGCUUCGUAUGCACGCACUUGACUUCCGGGGAGAAAGAAGGUGAUGAGGUCAGAAGAAAUUCAGAUGUCACUGAAAUAUUAAAAAAGACAAGGUUUUCUCAUUCACGUAGAGAUCCGGGACAACCAUUUCCUCCUGAAAGCAUAUUAGAUCAUGACAAGAUUAUUUGGCUCGGAGAUUUGAAUUAUCGGCUUGCAGUUGGCUGUGGAGAUACACACGAGCUUCUAAAGAAGAAUGAUUGGCAAGCUCUUUUAGAGAAAGAUCAGCUAAAGAUAGAGCAAAGAGCUGGUCGAGUGUUCAGAGGAUGGGAAGAAGGAAGGAUUUACUUUGCUCCAACUUACAAGUAUCUUGCCAAUUCUGAUGAUUACGUUGUCCAAACCUCAAGAUCGAAAGAGAAACGCCGUACUCCUGCUUGGUGUGACCGAAUACUUUGGAAAGGAGAAGGUCUAAAACAGAUGUGGUAUGUGAGAGGAGAGUCCAGAUUCUCAGAUCACAGACCAGUUUAUUCACUAUUCUCAGUCCAAGUCAGCCUGUCGAAUUCAUACACAAGCAACACAUACAGUAGAUCUUAUCCAGCAAGAUCUUCUACAAGUGUUGUGUUACAAUCAACAUGUAUGGCCAAAGUCCAAGCAGAGGAACUCUUGAUAUUUCCAAGGGCACAAAGCUGCAUAAACACCGCGCCCAGAUUAGAGUAACCAAACAAAUACAAAUUCCAUGUUACAACUGAUUGUAAUAGCUCAAUUGGCCCCUGAUACAUCCACCAUCUCGAGUAGGCACUGAGAAAUUCUUUUCUAAACCAGGUGUAUCGGCUCCGUGAUAUUUUGGACCAAUACAAUUUUUGCCAUCGUUCUGGCAUUUUAACGGAUAUGGGAUGGCAUAUACCCCAGUGGUAGCAAGAGGGGCAAUGUAAUGCAAAUACAAGGAAGCAUGAUGAUGAAGUAGUGUCUGAUCUGAAUGUGAAGUAACAAGCCAGCAAUGAGCGCGGUUUGGGUGGAUCAGAUCAUGCUUGAUUAAAAGGGAAAUCAGCUUUUGCAGGUGGCAGAAGAGAAGAAUAUUUUGGUGUACUUUGUUAUAUUGUUAGAAUUUUUAAUUGAAAGUGUAGAAAUUAAGAAAGGAAAAUGGUCUGGAGACAGUUCUUCUGCAGAGAAUGGGAUUAAACUUGGCAGUCCUGAGAGACUGUAAAUAGUGAAAAGGUGUUUUUUAAGGCUCACCCUCUCUUCUGUCAAAAAAUAGAAAGGCUCACCCUUUCUCUAUCAAUUUUGUUUGCAAUAUAUACUAUGGAUUAGUGGAAGUUUUAGAGUGUUUUUUGA